GUAAAAGCUGUAAUUUGCCAGAGGUCACACACCUGGCCAGUGGUGGAGCCAAGGAGAACGGGCCCUUUGCCCAGGGUGAUGCUGCAUUGAGGCGGCUGCCUGAGCGUGGAGCACGGCCACAACAGCCAUUCUGGACAAAGCGCAGAGGAGCAGCUUCUUUGUUGGUCACAGACGGAGGAAGUCUGCAGAAAUGGGGGCUUUCUCCAUGGGACAUGAUUUCCUGCCAGGGUGAAGAUGCCAAGCCUGCCAGACGGUCUGCUGUGGCUUCCUGCUGCUCAGGCCAGUUACAGGUUAAAGCCCUAUUAGCAAGAGCCACACACUGAGCUGGACUCUCAGUGUUGGGCCACGGAGGGACCUUGAGAUGGGUCUAACAACGCCCUAUGAAGGAGGUAGAGAGAGGCCAGGCUACUUGGUCAAGGUCACAUGGGGAUUAUUGCUUCCAAGCAGGGCUCCAGACCAAGGUCUGUCUGACCCCAGAGUCCAGGAUCUUAAUCACUACCUGAUAAUGCCUCUAUAUGUGAUGAAGCGCUGUUUCUUUCCUGGAGGAGGGGCGUGAUUAGCUUAAUUUUAAUACAAUGACUUCUUUUCUUCUGAUGAAGCUAAUUCGCAGUUUCCAUUGGAAUCAAGUAGGGUUAAGGGCUUGAGGUAUACUUUGUCUAACUAAAGUUAUACGAUAUUGAACCAUUUUUUCUAGAAAAACUUACCUAUGGGAAGAGUGGCAAUUAUACUUGAGAGAAAAUGUGCCAAUGAAUGAGCAGUAGACUGUUGACUUAAGGAUUGGUAAAACACAAAGAGCUCGCUAAGUCCUUAAUUAUUGGUGUUCAGUUAAGGACGCACCUUUCUAUUCUGAUGCUCCUGUGGGUAUCAAGUCAAAGAAACAGGAGCUGCUAUUUUACGGGCAUUGGGACAGACUUUCUCUGAGUGUCUAGCAGCUCUCACUGCAUAUUGGGAAUCAACAACAGAUAACAAAGAAAUGAGGUGGAGGAACCAGUUAAACCUAAUUUGAUUUAACGUAUGUAUUUACACUACUAUGUAUAUUGUUACUCUGCUAGGCCAUGGAGAUUCCAGAAUUUCUAUAAAGGAGGGGUGAGUGUUUUGGUUGGAAGACAGCACUCGAGGUAUUUUUACACUGGUUUUACAAAGCAGAAAACACUGUUUUUUCUUUGAUUAUACAUUUGUUUGGAGGAAAGUUUGUUGCUUUUGGAAAUUAUACAUUCCUACAGUAAGACAUAAAAUUCACGGCCCCUUCUUCCCUACUUCGCCUCAAGGGAGCUUAACAGGGCCUGAUUAAGCAAAGAAAGUCAUCAAACAUUCUUGGACAGCUCAGAAAUCCCUGGGGUUGAGUUGAGUUUUCGGUGAAGGGUUCAUAUUGGUGUCAAAGGAGUUCCCGCGAUCUCGUCACUGUCCACGCUUGACAGGACUACAGUUUCACUGCACUCACACUGACAGCCAGGGGACAAGCAUUCCUGCUUGAGACCUGAAGAAAGAAACACCUGGGUGUGAUUACCUGCAACUAUCCAGGUAAUUCUUUUAUUAAAUAACUUCACAAUUCAUUUCCAGGGGAGCAGGGACUCCAAAUGGAGCACAGGCUCUAAGGGUCUACCUUUGGAUGCUGUCCCCUGGCCUCCUUCCCACUACCUACCUCAGAGGCUUCUAGCUUUUUCCUCUUUGCUGAGCACCUAGGAUUCUUUUUUUUUUUUUUUUUUUUUCCUACGCAAAAGGGAAAACUAGGCAUUGACUUAUGUGACAACUUCAGCCCAAAGUGGCACGGUGGCUCUCAGUUUGCCCCAAACCCCAGUUAUAGGGUAGAGAGACCAGAAUUCACACCCUACUUAAUCAGGGAAACAUUCCUUCCACUCUGAGAAAAAAUAAAAUAGCCUUAGAAGAAAAAGAACUUUGUAAGUUGGCUAGUUCCUAACAAUGGGAGAAAAUCACCAGUGGCCGGUUUGUGUCUAUGAAGGACCGUAAGUCUCCUCAGCUUAUUCUUACCUGGAGCAGGUUGGGCUGGAGAUCAGAUGGUAAUUUAAAGCAAUAAAGAUGGGAGAUAUGAAAGAGCCAUAUUAAAUCUGGGGUGACCCAGAGUUUUUUCCAAAACUCACUAGGACAUAAGCCCCAUGAAGGCAGGGAUUUUGUUGCUUGGAACUUACAAGGCUUUCAAUAUAAAAUUACUAAUGAAUGUGUGAAAGCCAAUAUGGACCCAUGAUGCGGAUGAUCGAGAAACCUGUUUCCAUCUGCUGAUAGGAUUCCUAGUGAGGAGAGAAGGUUGGAGGUCAGUGCCUCUCACUCCCACCCCUAAGAAGGCUCUGCACUUGUCACCACCACCCCUACCACCACUAUUACUACUGCUAAUUAUACUAAUUACAAUCAUUGAUUGUCUACUCUAUGCCAGAUAGCAUACCAGGCUACAUUUAUACAUACAUUUACAUUUAUAUUUAAAUUGAACUUCACAAUAACCUUGUAGGUAGGCAUUACGAUCCCCAUUUUGUAGAUAAGGAAACCAAAGCUCACAGAAGUAACUUGUUCAAUCUCACAGCUAACAAACAGCAAAGUAGAGAUUUUAAUGUAGGUCAGACUGACCCUAAAACUCACUAUUUACUUUUACUACACUACCGAGAUGUAAAGGGGAGAAUGAUGUCUAUUUGUGUGUUGUUAUUAGGGGUUCUAAAGGGAAAUCAUGCGCCUUAUGAGGAAAAAAUCACCCCCAGUCAACUCCAACAUGUCAACGAUUUCCAUUUUAAUGUUAUUAUUUAUGGCAUUGAUGUUGCGGAUUAUUAUUAUAUUCUUCUAGAAUUCAUCUCAAGUUUUUAAUACAUGAUCAGACAUUUGUAUGGGUUCUCAGUAAUUUAUGUAUAGUGUUAGGCACAAAUAUCUUCUCUGGGAACAAGAAUCGUGCCUUCUGAUGCAUGUUCUAUCAUACUUAGAAGAGUAUUAGCCACUGCAUAAAUAUUCACAGAAGGAUCAAGAAUCUGGCGCUUAAAGACUAUUUAAAUAGUUCCCUGAUGCAACAUCCUUACUAACUGAUUAUGAUAAAAGAUAUGAACCAUAUUGUGCCUCCCCUGGAAGUGAUAAAUAACUUCACCAUAUAUAAUUACCAGAUUACAUUAUAACACAUGAAUCAGGCAUUAUCAGUGCAUCCAAUGACUUGUAUUUGUACAGCCAAAUAGUCUUCUAGAAAAGAGAUGACGUGGCAUGGUAGAUAGGCAUCCAAUAUGAAAUGGCAGGUGAUCUCCUUUGUCUGCUAAAUACCAGAGAGACUAGAAAUCUGCAGAAGAUGUUGAUACAAAAAUGAACACCUCUCUCACCAUUUAGUGAAGGACAGAAAGCAGAACCAGGAUGACAGGAGCUAAAGGAGAGAAGAUGAAAACAACCUUUUCUCAACCUCCUCUCCUGGCCUGAGGCUAACCUCUCACAAUAUGUGGCAAUGGCCCCCAUAGUUCCUUAACUAACUAAUUAACGAUUUAAUUCAAUUUUUUAAAAACUGCCUUGACCCACAUUUUCCUCCAUCUAGUGACCCAUCUCUCGGAUUACCUUUCCAGGAAAAUUCCUCAAGUGUUGUUUACAUGAACUAUGUCUCCUUUCUCUUCCCCAGUUCUCUCCUGAACCUCUGAAACUGCUCUUGACACCAUCACCAGUGGCCUCUGAGCUGCCGGAUUCAAUGUGCAGCCAGAAUGAUCCUAUUAAACCCUGCAUCUGAUUAUCAUCUUUCUGUUUACAAACAUCCAAUGUCUUCUCAGUGAAAGUCAAAGUCCUUACAAGGGGUCCAUAAGGCCCUGUGUGGUCUUGUCCCCCAUUACCUCUCUUGUCUCCCAUUAGCUUUUUGCCUGCUGCUGUUCCUUUCACUCACUGACCUCCAGUUCCACUAGCCUCUUUGCUUUUCCUAAACAUAUCAAACCCAUUUCUGCCUCAUGGUCUUUGUAUUUACUGUUUCUUCUACCAGAAGUGCCUAGAUAUCCACAUGGCUCACCCUCUAACUUUAUUCAGGUCCCUGCUUAAAUGUUGCUUCCUCAGGGAGCCUUCUUGACCAAAACCCCACCUCUCUACUCUGUCCUCUUAAUUGGCUUUCUUUUUCUUCAUUGCCUGUAUCACCAGCUGAUAUUUCAUAUAUUUCUAUGUUUGUGUGGUCUGUCUGCCCUUUCUUCACUGUAAUCUUUAUGAAGGCUGAAAUUUUGGAGUAUCGAGUUCACUGUCGUAUCCCAACAGCUAGAGUAGUCCCUUGUGCAUAGUGGGUGCUUAAUAAAUGUUUAUUGAAUGAAAGGUUCACUUCCUGGAGGCAAGAACUAACCAGGCAGGUGAGAAGAGAAGAUUCUGGGGAGACGAAAUGGCAACUGAAAGCCACUCAUAGAGGCCUGAGAGGACUCAGCAGAUUCAACAACUUAGGAGUAGUUCUAACUGACUCUGAAGGACCCUCUCCAUUAAUACCCAUGUCCUUUCAAGGGUCUCUUGCAGAGUGCUAACCCUUCAUUCCAGCGUUAUCAGGCCAUUGCCCAACUUGUUCCAGGGAGAAAGUCUUGCGCUUCAUGAUGGCUAAUUGCUCUCCCUUCCUGAGGAGCUCCCACUUGAGGAGAAGUAUUUGGGGUCGGGGGGUAAGCGGAGGGCCUCCGGAGGGAAGGAAGUGAAGAUACUAGAGGAGGGAAGAGCUCUCACGUUAAUCCUGUGGGUUCAUUACACUGGAAAGGUGGGUCCAGGAAAACCACGUUUGGCAGGUAACGGGCCUUGCCUGUGUGACUCAGCAGCCUCCAGCAUGGCUCUCCCAUCACUCACCCACCAGGUGUUCUUCCCAGCAACCACAUCAGCUUGACAGGGAGCACCACAGCUGGGGUGCUGAGAUGGACAAAGAGGUGCAGCUCUCUCUCCUCUGCGGUCCAGGUGUCAACAGAUGGGAAAUGGAUCUGCCCCUCCCUUACCAAAUAAAUAGGACUUUUACAGGCUGAGUAAUCCCACAUGGGAUAAGACCGUCAGUUAUCCCAGGUUUUCCAGCAAGCUCAAAGCUCCUCAGUCCUGAAUCAUAGAGCCCAUCACAGUUGGUGUAAGGAGCGGCGUUUCUAGAAUGCUGGCCACCCACUGGGCAGCAGUGAGACUGCAUAUUCCCCCCACUGGAGUUAUAGGGAGCCAAGUAUUCCUGGGAGCUGCUGCUUGUCCUUUAAACUCCACCCUCUGGCAAACGUCCCACCGCAGGUCCCACAGCCUUUGUGCUCACGGUUCUGUGCAGGUGCAGUUAAGCCCUCCUGCCCAGCCCGGGAGAGACAGUGAAAUUGCUGACGUGAUGGCUGCAGGAAGGAAAAUGCUCCCUUAUUGAGAAGGCAUGAGCCCGGAACCUUUUCAUUCUUAGCUGCUCUGACCUCAGUGAAAUGGCGAGGAGACAGGUUCUCGGGUCAUUCUCCUCUCUCUUCUGAUUCCCUUCCAAUGCCAGACCUCUGAGCCAGGGAAGCCUGGCUGGUCCUGACAAGUGAAAAAGGGGCACUGGCAGGUGGACAAAGACCCAUUAGAAGCUAAGUCCUUGAGUUCAACAGUGCCAUCCUCUAGCCACCUGUGAGGGAGAGAGCUCGUGGAGUUGACAUGCAAAGAGCACUAGACUGGGAACCAGAAGUCCUGGGCUCUCAGACACUUGCUUAGGUGCCACUGAACCUUCGUGAACCUCAGUUUCUUCAUCAUAAAAUGAGGAUACCUCCCAUCCCGGAUUCACUAAAUUAUGAGAAUUAAAUGAGUUAGAAUGAAUGAAAGCUUUGGAAUGCUGACAAGUAAGCCACUCCAAAUGAGUCUUCAUUUUGCUCUUGUGAGCAGUCAUGACGUUCUGCAACCUGGCUGGCGUAGCCACUUCGGGCCAUCGCUGAGUGACAGGGGGCCCCCACCCAAGGGCGGAUAACAGAGGUGGGCCCUGGGGUUCUCAUUUGCCCUCUCUCCUUCCUAUAAAUAUUCUGCAAACAUUGGGCCAGGCACUGUUGAAAGAAGAAAUCAGCAAUAUUUCAAGGAGGGACAGCAGAACUAACUCCCUAAUGCUAGCCCACGAUAGUGAUUGCCUGGUCCAAGAGGGAGGACACUUUGACUAGGACAACACAAACCAUCUCGGCUUUCAACAUGCACCUGGUUGAUAAACACCAACACUGAUAGGAGAUCUUUCGGGAGCUUUCAGUCUCAAACACCAGCUGAGAACCCGGGAAACAAGCAACGCAACCCUGGCUGAGUGGUCACCUACCUUCCAUCUUCUGAUGGAAGCAGCAGAAGUGCUGGAGUCUUUGACUCACCCAAGCCUGUUUUUUAGCACGGGGUCAGUUUGGGGUCAGCUGUCAAUCCCUAACGCUAGAGAAGCUCACCUCUGACUGAGUCAGAAUCUCCAGGUUUUUUAUCUACCAAGCAAUGAAUUGGCACUUUUCACCAAGGAGUGACUACCGGGCCCUGUAGAGCCUUAUUAAGCUCCGUGACUUUAAUGACUCUCCUGUUUAAUGGAAGCAAAAGCCGUUUAAGUGGUCACAGCUGCCAGGAGCUUU
rnacentral:lncRNA from 1 species